rnacentral:rRNA from 1 species
GACGAACGCUGGCGGCGUGCUUAACACAUGCAAGUCGAACGGAAAGGCCCUGCUUUUGUGGGGUGCUCGAGUGGCGAACGGGUGAGUAACACGUGAGUAACCUGCCCUUGACUUUGGGAUAACUUCAGGAAACUGGGGCUCAUACCGGAUAGGAGCUCCUGCUGCAUGGUGGGGGUUGGAAAGUUUCGGCGGUUGGGGAUGGACUCGCGGCUUAUCAGCUUGUUGGUGGGGUAGUGGCUUACCAAGGCUUUGACGGGUAGCCGGCCUGAGAGGGUGACCGGCCACAUUGGGACUGCGAUACGGCCCAGUCUCCUACGGGAGGCAGCAGUGGGGAAUAUUGCACAAUGGGCGGAAGCCUGAUGCAGCAACGCCGCGUGCGGGAUGACGGCCUUCGGGUUGUAAACCGCUUUCGCCUGUGACGAAGCGUGAGUGACGGUAAUGGGUAAAGAAGCACCGGCUAACUACGUG